UGGGGAAUAUUGCGCAAUGGGCGAAAGCCUGACGCAGCGACGCCGCGUGGGUGAUGAAGGCCUUCGGGUCGUAAAGCCCUGUCGGGAGGGAAGAAAUCUCGGUAACCCAAUACGUUGCCGACUUGACGGUACCUCCUAAGGAAGCACCGGCUAACUCCGUGCCAGCAGCCGCGGUAAUACGGAGGGUGCGAGCGUUGUUCGGAAUCACUGGGCGUAAAGCGCGUGUAGGCGGCCUCUUAAGUUUGGUGUGAAAGCCCGGGGCUUACCCUCGGAAGUGCAUCGGAUACUGGGAGGCUCGAGUACCGGAGAGGAGGGUGGAAUUCCUGGUGUAGCGGUGAAAUGCGUAGAUAUCAGGAGGAACACCGGCGGCGAAGGCGGCCCUCUGGACGGAUACUGACGCUGAGACGCGAAAGCGUGGGGAGCAAACAGG
rnacentral:rRNA from 1 species